UGGCUCAGAUGGUAAAGCAUCUGCCUGCAAUGCAGGUAGACCCGGGUUCGAUCCCUGG
rnacentral:tRNA from 1 species